GGAGGAUUACCCAAGUCCGGCUGAAGGGAACGGUCUUGAAAACCGUCCAGGCGUGGUAAAAGCGUGGCGUGGGUUCGAAUCCCACAUCCUCCU
rnacentral:tRNA from 1 species